GAAUGGCUCAAUUGGUAAAGUGUUUGCUUUGCAAGCACAAGGGCCUGGGUUCAAUUCCCAGAAUUCA
rnacentral:tRNA from 1 species